rnacentral:lncRNA from 1 species
GGUUGUGUCAGUGAAUACAUGAACAAGGCGUUUUUUAAUGGGGAACAUGUAAUUAGUAGAACGGCUAUCCGGGUCUUAGGUUCUGAUUAGUGUUGUCAAACGGGUUGUGCCAUCCCGUCCCGGCCCGUACCGCAGCGGACUCUCUUUCUUGCGGGGUUACGGCGGGUCAGGCCCGCCCGGGCUGCGGUCUCCUAAAGCUCGGUCCAAUCCCACCGCACCGAAAUGCACAGUCCUUUACAGGUCGUCCCGCGGGCUGAGAGCCAAAAAGUGCACCAAGCGAUUCUUAGCGUUGCAUGCUGCUCCAGGACGCUACAGGCUGCUCCAUGACACUUCUUGACGCUGCAUGCUGCUCCAGGAGACCAUGACGCUUCAUCUACAUGUUAAAGCUGUACGAUUCAGGCUUUUAUACUACAUAUCUAACUUCAUAUCAGUUCUUGAAGUCAUGUACACCCGACACAAACAAGUUCGAAUUAUUGGAACUGGAGGGUCUGUAUUAAGAAUGCAAUUUCAGUUCAGUUCAUAUCAAUUCUCUACUAAGAUUGUAUGUAUUAGAUGAGAAUAUGUAUCAACUCAUAACCAAAUCUUAAAGUGCAACAAGUAACUAAGCUACCAGAGACUCGAUCGAGAGUCUUGUCUUAACUUCACAGUAGAUUUUGCGGCGUAGCUAAUGAACAAUCACCCUUCAUUCCUUUGAAUGAUGUUUCAUAAGCUACGCUGCGAAAAUCCACUGAACUAGUCAAGACAAGUAAUCUCAACUUCAAACAACAACUACCGAAACAUAAAUAAGCUAACAGAGACGCAACAUCAGAGACAAAACACCAUACAUGUUCAGUGCAGAGGAAAAGAAGAUGAACCAGUUGAGUCUUUGUUCACAAUCACUCCAUCACCUCGUCACAUACAACAAAGAAAGACAAAAGACUCAUCAGAUAUGUAAUAUCACAAUUUCAAUACCAAAGUCAUGUCUUAACUUCGAAAUUUCACAAUUUCAAACAACAAUUAGAGAUCAAGC